AUUGAACGCUGGCGGCAGGCCUAACACAUGCAAGUCGAGCGAGCGGCGGACGGGUGAGUAAUGUCUGGGAAACUGCCUGAUGGAAGGGGAUAACUACUGGAAACGGUAGCUAAUACCGCAUACCAUCAGAUGUGCCCAGAUGGGAUUAGCUAGUAGGUGGGGUAAUGGCUCACCUAGGCGACGAUCCCUAGCUGGUCUGAGAGGAUGACCAGCCACACUGUAACUGAGACACGUUCCAUACUCCUACGGGAGGCAGCAGUGGGGAAUAUCGAACAAAAGGCGCAAGCCUGAUGCAGCCAUGCCUCGUGUAUGAAGAAGGCCUUCGGGUUUUAAAGUACUUUCAGCGAGGAGGCGUUACUCGCAGAAGAAGCACCGGCUAACUCCGUGCCAGCCGCCGCGGUAAUAC
rnacentral:rRNA from 1 species